rnacentral:rRNA from 1 species
GACGAACGCUGGCGGCGUGCUUAACACAUGCAAGUCGAACGGAAAGGCCCUGCUUUUGUGGGGUGCUCGAUUGGCGAACGGGUGAGUAACACGUGAGUAACCUGCCCUUGACUUUGGGAUAACUUCAGGAAACUGGGGCGAAUACCGGAUAGGAGCUCCUGCUGCAUGGUGGGGGUUGGAAAGUUUCGGCGGUUGGGGAUGGACUCGCGGCUUAUCAGCUUGUUGGUGGGGUAGUGGCUUACCAAGGCUUCGACGGGUAGCCGGCAUGAGAGGGUGACCGGCCACAUUGGGACUAAGAUACGGCCCAGAAUCCUACGGGAGGCAGCAGUGGGAAAUAUUGCGCAAUGGGCGGAAGCCUGAUACAGCAACGCCGCGUGCGGGAUGACGGCCUUCGGGUUGUAAACCGCUUUCGCCUGUGACGAAGCGUGAGUGACGGUAAUGGGUAAAGAAGCAACGGCUAACUACGUG